rnacentral:rRNA from 1 species
AUUGAACGCUGGCGGCAGGCCUAACACAUGCAAGUCGAGCGGUAGAGAGAAGCUUGCGUCUCUUGAGAGCGGCGGACGGGUGAGUAAUGCCUAGGGAUCUGCCUGGUAGUGGGGGAUAACGUUCGGAAACGGACGCUAAUACCGCAUACGUCCUACGGGAGAAAGCAGGGGACCUUCGGGCCUUGCGCUAUCAGAUGAGCCUAGGUCGGAUUAGCUAGUUGGUGGGGUAAUGGCUCACCAAGGCGACGAUCCGUAACUGGUCUGAGAGGAUGAUCAGUCACACUGGAACUGAGACACGGUCCAGACUCCCACGGGAGGCAGCAGUGGGGAAUAUUGGACAAUGGGCGAAAGCCUGAUCCAGCCAUGCCGCGUGUGUGAAGAAGGUCUUCGGAUUGUAAAGCACUUUAAGUUGGGAGGAAGGGCAGUAAAUUAAUACUUUGCUGUUUUGACGUUACCGACAGAAUAAGCACCGGCUAACUCUGU